UUCUUGUUGAAAAUAACAAGAGUGACAUCAUGAGACAGUGCGAGACAGUGGUGGAGAGGUCAGAACCAGCGUGAAUGUGGGGAAGCUUUGAAAGGUGACGUCAGCACAAAGAUGAGAGCUGAUUGAACCACCCAUCAUUCGACAGCAGGUGUCACACCUGCGGAAUUGUUGAUGAAGCGCCGUCUCCAAUCGAGACUGAGCCAAUCAUGACAAACUUGGGGGGGACAGUAGGAAGAAGGCAGAAAAGUCAGAAAAUGGGUCAUGAUUGUCACAGUUGGGACAGAACAGAAGGAGAGAAGGUAUUUGUGAAAAAUUUUAGAGAAGGACCAGUAUGGUUGUUCAGUGAAAUAAGUGCAGUAACGAGACCUCUUUUCUACCACGUGAAAGUCAGAGAUUGAAUAGUAAGUAAACAUGAGGAUCACAUACAAAGUGCACAAACCAAAUAUCCAGAAAUAAUUCCACCAGUGUUUGAAACUGAAUCAAUAUCUCCUGUUGAAAGAACUCAACCAAGUACGAAUGUGUUUGAAGGGCCAACUGUACCUGGAAGAGUCAAAGAAACAAAUUUACAGGUACCCACUGAAGAACCAGAUGCUCAGGCGAGUCCAGUAAAGCAGGUUCCAAAUCAAACUUCAGAAGCUGUAGAGCCGAGAUGUUCUACACACAUAAGGAAACCCCCAGAGAGACUGACUUUGUAAAUAAUUGAUCUGUGUAAAUAGCUUGAUAUAUUGAAAAAUUGUAAAAUGUAUUUUUCAGUAAAGGGGGAGGGAUGUAGUAACCUGAUGUGUGAUAUACAUUUAAGACAAGUGUUGUAAUGUAAGGUCACAGAAUCUUAAUACCCAAUAGCAGAGUGGCACAGGCUACCUCCGUGAGAGUCUUAAGUUAGACACUGAUGAAUAAAGACAGAACUUUAUUUUGUGAACGUACAAGUGUAGCUGCAGAGUUUAGUUUGUAAAUAAACAGCGUGUGUUGAUUCUAA